AUCCUGCGGACUGACUGCUAUCGUGAUUGGUACUAANGCCAUGCGAGUCAUUGUACAAUACAAGGCGGACGGCUCAUACACCGUAGUCACCCUAACUUNNUAAUUGGACGUGGAUAACCUCGGGAAACUGAGAAUAAACCACGAUAGAUCAUUAUGCCUGGAAUGGCUUAUGGUCAAAUAGUUUACUGCCAUGGGAUGGGACUGCGGCCCUAAAUCAGCNUUNUGUUGGUGAGGUAAUGGCCCACCAAGGCUAUAACAGGUACGGGCUCUGAGAGGAGAGCCCGGAGAUGGGUACUGAGACACGGACCCAGCCCUAUGGGGCGCAGCAGGCGAGAAACCUUAGCAAUGUGCGAAAGCACGACUGGGUCAGUCCGAGUGAUUCCUGCUAAAGGAAUCUUUUGCUUGUCCUAAAAGCACAGGUGAAUAAGGGGUGGGCAAGUCUG
rnacentral:rRNA from 1 species